UUGAUGAGAACACAGGAUAAAAUAAAUUCCGUGACUAGACGCAAGUGACAGACACAGCCCCGCAGGCGGAAAACGUGGCGCAAGUGUUAUUUUAGUUAGAAAAAAAAGGAAAGAAAAUGGGAUUCUAAAAUUUAAAAAAGAAGCUGGAAGAUAAUAGCAUCUGCUGAAAUUGAAGAUUUUGGUGCUUUGCAAAAGGUGUGUAGAAAGAAUAGACCCAGUGAAGGAAUAUAAGAGAAGAUCUGCAGGUCUGGGAAUGCAAGCGUAGAGCCAUUGGUAGCCACUUUGUCAUCACGAGGGGUGACUGACUGAGCAUGGCAUCCACACAUGGGAGUCCAGUGGCAUAAUACAUUCUUAUGAAGAACUGAAACAAUUUUCAGAAUAACGUAGUAACGCUGGGCUAGAAAUGUACUGUUUAAUCACUGAUGAUUCAUCAGCAGAUUUUCAAUAAAUGAACAAAGAAAUGAAUGAAUGAACCCCUUAUCUGGAUUUCUCCUUUAGGGAAAGACAGGUCUAAAAUAGAGGUGAAGAGGGUGGUGCUCAAGAACUAUAACAAGUGACCUAGGACAGCAAAGAAGAUGACUACAUUGCUACAUAAGCUAUGGCAGCCAAAUCAAGUUGGAUAGUAUCUCUCGUUAAUAUUGCAUAAGACAGAUGCUGUACAGAUAAGGCCUAAAGGAACUUAUACCUCUCUUUCAAGGGUAACAUGAGUGUGGAUUGGAGUUGCUGACAACACCAAGUGUGCUCAGCCCUGGUCCUCUGACUCUCAACCCCCGGUGCUUGGGGGAGAAGCACCCCAACUUACCACUCAUGAUGACUACUUGCUCUGCCAGCCAAAUGUGCCACAGACAAUGCCACUUGCUUCAACAUGUACCAGGGUGCAACUGCAGUUGAGGGAAUCCGGGGAAAAUUAUAGAUUAGGUGGGUGUGAAAUAUCUGUGGGAAAUAGCACAUCCUUUCAUUCUCCAAAGUAGGAAUUGUAUGGAUACCUUUUCUAGAAACCUCAUUCUUUCUUAUAUUUUUAAUUUUUUAAAUUUAUUUUUUCUUUCUUUAUUAUUUUUAAUCACAUUUCCCCUUUAUAUGUUUUGUAGAUAUCUGUGGUUCUGAAAUUUGUAUUUACAAAUGGCCUAUUAAGCACUCAGAUUCCAGGACUCACUUGUAGAUAUUAAGAUCCAAUAGGUCUAAGGUGGCACCAAGGAAUCUGCGUUUUCAACAUGUUUGCUCCAAGAUUCUGACACAAGUCGUCCACAGAACAUACUAGGAGAAAAGCACAUAUCUGCACAGAGGGGCAGUGCAUUCCCAAUGGUUAGGCAUGGAGGCAGAAAGAAUUUCAAGUCUGAUUGAGGAUCCUGGGACCUGAGGAGGAGGAAAGAUGCAAAUCAAAUUUUAGUCAACUUCCUGAACCUUCUCCUAGGUCAUCUCUGCAAUUCUUUGUAAAAUCCAGGUUUAGGGGAUUCCUGGGUUGCUCAGUGGUUUGGCGCCUGCCUUUGGCCUGGGGCAUGAUCCUGGAGACCGUGGAUUGAGUCCCAUGUCGGGCUCCCUGCAUGGAGCCUGCUUCUCCCUCUGCCUGUGUCUCUGCCUCUCUCUCUACCUGUGUCUCUCAGGAAUAAAUAAAUAAAAUCUUAGAAAAAAAAAUCCAUGUUUAGCAAGCCCCCUGCUGAGUCAGUUCAGUAAGAGUCCUCCAUCCUCCACAUCUGAUCACACUCAAUACAUGAUUGAGUCCCUCCUCUUCCGCCAUCUCACAAGCCUGUCUUCAGCAAAGAUCCUGAAAGGCCAGACUCCCCCUUACUCCUGAUGUUUUCUUUUAGAAACUCUCCAUCCAUUGAUGGCACCCUGCUCCUAGACUAUAAACUCCCACC